GACAGAGGUGCCGAGCGUUAGGCGGAAUCACUGGGCUUAAAGCGUGUGUAGGUGGCGCGCUAAGUCGGGUGUGAAAUUUCGGAGCUUAACUCCGAAACUGCAUUCGAUACUGGCGUGCUUGAGGACUGGAGAGGAGACUGGAAUUCAUGGUGUAGCAGUGAAAUGCGUAGAUAUCGUUUGGAACGCCAAUGGUGAAAACAGGUAACUGGGAGUGUGCCGACGCUGAGACACGAAAGCCAGGGGAGCGAACGGG
rnacentral:rRNA from 1 species